rnacentral:misc_RNA from 1 species
CUAAUGGAGGUCCAGUGCAAUCCGUUGCAAAUUUAGCAAAAGGUCAAGACAAAGGAAAUGCAGUCUCAAUCCAAGCAGUGAAAUUAAGAGAAAACAACAUGUGGAUCCUUCAAGAUACAAGCACCAAUGCUUAUGAAUCCGCAGUGGUUUAUGCCCCAGUGGACAUUGCAGGCAUGCAAUCUGUUAUAACAGGUUGUGACUCUAGUAAUAUUGCUGCGUUACCUUCGGGAUUCUCGAUCCUCCCUGAUGGUCUAGAGUCGAG